rnacentral:rRNA from 1 species
CCUGGUGGCCAUGGCGAGGGAGCCACACCCGAUCCCAUCCCGAACUCGGCCGUAAAGACCCUCAGCGCCGAUGGUACUGCGUCUUAAGGCGUGGGAGAGUAGGUCGCCGCCAGGU